rnacentral:rRNA from 1 species
GCUUACGGCCAUACCAGCCUGAAUACGCCCGAUCUCGUCCGAUCUCGGAAGCUAAGCAGGUCGGGCCUGGUUAGUACUUGGAUGGGAGACCGCCUGGGAAUACCAGGUGCUGUAAGCU